rnacentral:lncRNA from 1 species
CAAAAGCAAGCUAAAGGUUUCUGGCUGGCAACAAGGAAGGGGAACAGGAAGCAAAAGCAUAAAGCAAGGACCAUAAUCGAGAACAUCCUCAGUUUGGGCAAGACAGCAAACCAAGAUAGAAAAAAAUGACUUACCAGACACCCCGUCAUACCAGCAAUUCAGUCUGUUGGCGUCCCCUGAUCAUUUUCUUCCAACAAGUUGCAAAAGUCAGAUGUUGUUAAAAAUCACUUCUACAAAAAGCCAGUUUAUGCACUAGAGAUAAAUACUGGUUCCACUGGCAGCAGCUCCAUAGACUGCUCCAGCCUCCCAC